rnacentral:misc_RNA from 1 species
GGAUGAAGAACGUAGCGAAAUGCGAUAAGUAAUGUGAAUUGCAGAAUUCAGUGAAUCAUCGAAUCUUUGAACGCACAUUGCGCCCGCCAGUAUUCUGGCGAGCAUGCCUGUUCGAGCGUCAUUUCAACCAUCAAGCCCCAGGCUUGUGUUGGAGCCCUGCGGCUGCCGCAGCCUCCCAAAACCAGUGGCGGGCUCGCUAUCACACCGAGUGCAGUAGUUUACUCUUCGCUCAGGGCGUGUGGCGGGUGCUAGCCGUGAAACCCCCAACUUCUCAAGGUUGACCUCGGAUCAGGUAGGAAUACCCGCUGAACUUAAGCAUAUCAAUAAGCGGAGGA